rfam:Halioglobus sp. HI00S01 HI00S01_c9, whole genome shotgun sequence.
GUCUUACAGAUGGCAACGGCUAACGGCGAGUACCCUCGUCCCCUGGCCUACUGGCGUGAUCCGAUUAUUCAUGUCAGCUGUUUGUGAGUCCCGUAUUCAGUCGCACAGUACCUGUGCGAUUGAGGGCCAGACACUGCGCUACCCCGCAGGGCGACCGAUACACGGGCUUCGUGAUCGAUUCUUCCCUGGAGGAGCGUCUCCUCACGGGGCGUUUGCG